rnacentral:rRNA from 1 species
AUUGAACGCUGGCGGCAUGCUUUACACAUGCAAGUCGAACGGUAACAGGUUAAGCUGACGAGUGGCGAACGGGUGAGUAAUGCAUCGGAACGUGCCCGAUCGUGGGGGAUAACGCAGCGAAAGCUGCGCUAAUACCGCAUACGAUCUGAGGAUGAAAGCGGGGGACCGUAAGGCCUCGCGCGAUCGGAGCGGCCGAUGUCAGAUUAGGUAGUUGGUGGGGUAAAGGCUCACCAAGCCAACGAUCUGUAGCUGGUCUGAGAGGACGACCAGCCACACUGGGACGGAGACACGGCCCAGACUCCUACGGGAGGCAGCAGUGGGGAAUUUUGGACAAUGGGCGUAAGCCUGAUCCAGCAAUGCCGCGUGCAGGAAGAAGGCCUUCGGGUUGUAAACUGCUUUUGUACGGAGCGAAAAGGCUCUCUCUAAUACAGGGGGCUCAUGACGGUACCGUAAGAAUAGGCACCGGCUAACUACGUGCCAGCCGCCGCUGUAA